rnacentral:rRNA from 1 species
UCAGUAACACGUGGUCAAAUUACCCUUUGGAUCGGCAUAAUCUCGGGAAACUGAGGCUAAUACCGAAUAUAACUCCUUACCUGGAAUGGGUGGAGUUAGAAAGGCUUCGGCGCCAAAGGAUAUGACUGCGGCCGAUUAGGUAGACGGUGGGGUAAUGGCCCACCGUGCCAGUAAUCGGUACGGGUUGUGAGAGCAAGAGCCCGGAGAUGGAUUCUGAGACAAGAAUCCAGGCCCUACGGGGCGCAGCAGGCGCGAAACCUUUACACUGCACGCAGGUGCGAUAAGGGGACCCCGAGUGCGAGGGCGUUCGUCCUCGCUUUUGAAUACCGUAAACUGGUAUUCGAAUAAGAGCUGGGCAAGACCGGUGCCAGCCGCCGCGGUAAUACCGGCAGCUCAAGUGAUGGCCGAUCUUAUUGGGCCUAAAGCGUCCGUAGCCGGCCAGAUAAGUCCAUCGGGAAAUCCGCUCGCUUAACGAGCGGAAGUUCGGUGGAAACUGUUUGGCUUGGGGCCGGAAGACCUGAGGGGUACGUUUAGGGUAGGAGUGAAAUCCUGUAAUCCUAGACGGACCGCCGGUGGCGAAAGCGCCUCAGGAGGACGGACCCGACGGUGAGGGACGAAAGCUAGGGUCACGAACCGGAUUAGAUACCCGGGUAGUCCUAGCUGUAAACGAUGCCCGUUAGGUGUGGCACUGGCUACGAGCUAGUGCUAUCGCCGUAGUGAAGACGUUAAACGGGCCGCCUGGGAAGUACGUCCGCAAGGAUGAAACUUAAAGGAAUUGGCGGGGGAGCACUACAACCGGAGGAGCCUGCGGUUUAAUUGGAUUCAACGCCGGG